rnacentral:tRNA from 1 species
AGAAACUUAGGAUUACGAAAACCGAAGGCCUUCAAAGCCUUAAACAAGAGUUAGACCCUCUUAGUUUCUG